UGGGAACUCUGCCCGCGCCCCCAACGCGCCAGUCCCGGGGCUGCAGGGAGCGCAGCGCGCGCCGCCCGGGCCCCGGCCACCGGACGCCCUACCGGACACCACCCUCCUUGGAGCUUGGACAACCGCCCGCCACGAUCGCUGCACCAGGCACUGCUCCUACAGGGCUGGACACUACAACGAACACUACUUUCCAGCUCCGGACAUUGCUCCCUGCUCCCUUCCCCCGGCCCUGGACGCUAUCUCCCCCCUCCUCUGCCCGGGCCCAGACAUCGAGCCCCCAGCGGGCUCUGGUGAUAGUCCUCUUGCACCUCAGCGCUGGACACUGCCUCCUUCCGGCCCCCUUCUUUCCUCUCGUCGCACCUCAUCUCUAUCCAGUUCGGGUCAGAGCACCUCCAGUUUCUCAGAUUCCCUGCUGCUCGGGCAACGCUGCCCGUGCCCCCAUUCCCAGGCUGCUCGCCCGGAUGCCUCUCCCCGGGGGAUUGUGGUGGCUUCUCUGCUGCCGUCGAGGCUUCACUCUUCUGCACCGGGACUACGGGGACGGCGAGCUUAGCGGGGACGGGGACGAAGACGAGGACGACGAGACCUUUGAGCUAAGGACCCCGAGUCCAGCGGGCGGCGGGAGGGGUUCGCUGGACGUUACACUGACUCAGCCAACAAGGAAUGGGCCGAUCUCAGACAGACUGCAGAGCUGGGAAGAGACCUGGAGCCUCAUCCCAGACAAGGAACUUCCGGAGGACGACCCUGACGUCAUUGUGAAAGGUUGGCUGUACCGGGAACCCCGUGGAGGAGGGGCACGGCCAUGGUUGCUCCCACGCAGAGCCUGGUUUGUGCUCACCAAAGAUUCCCUGGACCAGUUCAGCAGCAGCGGGAAGGGGGCAAAGCGCCUCGGAAGCCUGGUCCUCACAAGCUUGUGUUCAGUAAUUGGGCCGGAGCGAAGGCCCAAAGAGACCGGUCUGUGGUCAGUCACUGUGUCUGGCCGAAAACAUAGCAUCCGCCUCUGCUCCCCGCGCCAGGCAGAGGCAGAGCGCUGGGGGGUAGCACUGCGUGAGGUGAUUGCCUCCAAGGCCCCGCUGGAGACCCCUACCCAACUUCUGCUCAGGGACAUACAGGAGAGCUGUGGGGAUCCAGAAGCAGUGGCCCUCAUCUACCGGCGGAACCCUAUUCUGAGGCACACCAGUAGUGCCUUGUAUGCGCCGCUCUUGCCCCUGCCCUAUGAAGUCAGCGCUCCAGGUCCAGGCUAUGCACCCUUACGAGAGGAGGCUGUGAGGCUGUUCUUGGCACUGCAGGCGCUGGAGGGGGCACGGCGCCCCGGGCCCCUGAUGCAGGGUGUGCUCCAGACCUGCCGGGACCUGCCUGCACUCCAGGACGAACUUUUCCUGCAGCUGGCUAAGCAGACUUCAGGUCCUGCCGGUCCCCCUGGGCUCCCUGCUACUCAAGAUCCUGCAACCCUGCGAUACUGGCAGCUUCUCACUUGCAUGAGCUGUACCUUUCGGCCAGGGGGAGCUGUCCGAGGGCACCUCCUAGGGCAUUUGGAGAGGACGGAGCAGGCACUUCCGGACUCAGAACUGGCAGAAUAUGCACGUUUCAUCCGGAAAGCUCUGGGCCGUACCCGGGGCCGAGAGCUGGUGCCUUCACUAGCGGAGAUUUCUGCACUGAGCAGACGGCAAGAGCUAUUGUGUACCGUGCACUGUCCCGGAGCUGGAGCCUGUCCUGUGUCCAUCGACUCCCAUACUACAGCAGGAGAGGUGGCUCGAGAGUUGGUGGGUAGGCUAGGUUUGGCCCGGAGCCGGAACGCAUUCGCUUUGUAUGAGCAGCGAGGGGCCCAGGAGCGAGCCCUGGCUGGGGGGACCCUCGUGGCCGACGUGCUCACCAGGUUUGAGAAUUUGACCUCAGAGGAAGCCGGACUGGAGGACUCGCCCGACUCCGGGUGGAGACUGUGCCUUCGUCUUCACGGGCCUUUGCACCCAGAAGGGCUAUCUCCAGAGGGUCAUGAAUUGCCUUUCCUCUUUGAGCAGGCUCACGCUCUGCUGCUGCGCGGCCGGCCGCCCCCACCCGACGACACACUGCGCGCCCUGGCGGCGCUGCGCCUGCAGAGUUUGCACCGGGACUUUUCCCCACGGGGACCUCUGCCGCUCCUGGACCGUCUGCUGCCGCCCCCCACCCCGCCCCGCGAACAACCGCUGCGCCAUACCCGGAGGCCACCGCCGUCCGCCGCCCUGCUGGCCGGGGCGCUCUGGAGCCCCGGCCUGGCCAAGAGGCGGGCGGAGCGUUCCCGGCGUGGCGGGACCAGCCGCUCGACGGGAAGCACGGCCCAGGUGGGAGGAGGCGGCGCCAGCACGACGGCCGCGGUGCUGGGCGGCUGGAAGCGGCUGCGGGGCAUGGGCCAAGCUGAGGCCAUGGCUGCCUACCUGGCUCUGGCGGCGCAGUGUCCGGGGUUCGGCGCUGCUCGGAGCCUGGUGGAGGUGCUCCACAGAAGCUCUGCCUGGGUCUGGGAGCAAAGGCCAUGUCGCUCUCCAGGCCUGGUGAGACAGAACCCAUCCACAGUGUCAGCUAUGGUCAUGUGGCCUCCUGCCAGCUAAUAGGCCCUCACACCUUAGCACUGAGGGUGGGCGACAGUCAGCUCCUCCUGCAGAGUCCUCAGGUGGAAGAGAUCAUGGAGCUGGUGAAUGCCUACUUGGCCAAUCCCUCCCCUGAGAGGCCCUGCAGCAGCUCUGGUCCUCCAAGCCAAGACCUGCCGGACAGCUCCCCUCCCAGCCAGCACCAAGUUCUGGAAGAGCCCCAGGGACAGUCUGGCUGCUAGAGGCAGCUGCAGGACUAAGCCUGCCAAGAGGUCAGGACUUUUCUUUUUGCCUCCAGCCUGAGACGGAAUGCUCCGAGAUUUGAGGCAACCAUGGACCCUUUUUGGCCCUGCAGGGACAGGGUACACCCAUACCCGAAGGCAGCAAUGGGUGUGGACAGUUUUCUAGUUUGUUUCUUAAUUUAUUUGUAGAAGAAAAAAAAUCGUUAUUUACACAAA